AAAGGCAUUUAUUUAAAAUAAGUAGAGUAACUUGUACAUUGAUUAAAUGGUCUAUCUCUUUAGGUAGAUCAUGGAAUUGCAAUUUAGCAUAUAGAGUUGAAGAGAGCAUCAAUUAAAGUUAUAGCUAAGCUGAGUCAGGUGCUCAUCAGAGGAGAUGGGAUUAAAGAUCGGUUUAAAAAAACAUAAACCCCCAAGUAUGCAAAACCUAGAUGCAAUAAUAUAAUGAAAACACAAAAUCAAACCAAUUGAGAUAAAAAUGAAGCACUUACCUAGUAUGAUCACCUGAAAAGCGUGGCAAAUUCCUACAAAUUGCAGGAAUUCAUAUUGCAAAGUAUUCAGCAAAACUUCUGUGUAGUUCUAUAGAAAGCUCAGAAAAAUCCUGCAAUAUCUUGCAAAGUGCUCCACAGGUAUCCAAUACUUUUGAACUGAUAUCAUUCUACCUUCCUCAAUGGGUCCAAAUCAUAUAACCACUGGUCUCCAAGUGAUGAAAAGGUAAGCCCUGGAGAAAUGGAGGAUUGGUUUUCAGUUUUGAGGAUGGGCUAGAGAUCAAAAAUCUACUACUCAGAGGUACCCUGGAUACCAAAAAAAAUACAAAUAAAAAAUGCUCUUUUGAUUAUUUUUUAAAGUAUUUGCUUCUAAAAAGGACAGAAUCCCCCAACCUUCCAACCCAUAUUUUAAUAACCCAACAAUGAAAGAGAAAUAUUUGACAGAGGGUGCAUUGGAUGUUGAUGAUCUCCAACUGCUUCCAAAUCUGCAUACAUAAAACUCUAACAAAUCCCUACACAAUGAACCAACUGAAUGGGGCUCUAUUUAUCUGCCGCUGAAGAAUAAAGGGCCAAGCCAAUCCUAUUGACAGUUAAGUCUGUAGUUUCCAACAUAUCACUGAGGUCACUAACCCACCACUACAGGACAGGCUGACAAACAGCUGAUGUGCUCAACAAAAAUUAGGGCUCAAAUCAAUUCACUGCUGAAACCCAAUUUAAGGAGCUCUCAGUUUGCACAGUUUUGGUUGAUCAAAUUCAGAGAUGGGAUUCGAUUCAUAUUUCAGUAAUGAAGAUCAGGGUUGGGAACUGAUAUAUUGAAAGGUGUAUUUUUCCAUUUCUUCUCCACAUAAAAUAUUCAUGGAUGCCAUGUUCUACAGUGUACUCUGACAGUGUAACAGCUGCCAAAAACCUGGUACCUGAGGCCACUUUUACAUCAAUAAAUUAUCGAAGGUUACAUCUGUAGCAAGAUAGCUUUAUUUGGCCAAGCAAAUAAUACCAAGGUACGUAACAUAGUUAUCCCAGCUUUUGUUUUCUAGAGGGUGGACUAUUGUUACACUCUGUACUGCAGAGCAUGCUGGGAAGCCCUGACCAAGAGGUAAGGAGGAAAAAUACUUGCCUUUGUGCUCUACUAGAGGCAGUAUGAUAUUAAGGAAAGGUCAUAAUUUGGAGUCAAGCAUCAGAAGCUGUGUGAGAGUGACCAGAUUAUUUUACCUCUCUGAUAAUACAGUUUGUCCAUCGUUAAAAUAGGGAUGUUCCUCUACCUCCCUGCAUGGUCCUUGAGAUCAAUAAAUAGACAAUGUCUCUAAAAGGUCUGCCAUUAGAUGGACAGUCAGUUAAUGUUAUUCAGGUGCUACCUUCUAACAAUGUAUCUCAUUGUACUGAAACACCAAGUAUUGCAUUUAUCACAAGUUCUGGAGGGCUUCUCUCUCCCUUUAGGAAAAUUGGCUGAGUGUUGAAAUUCAAUUUUCUGGAGUCCUAAAGAAGUUGGUUUCAUAAAUGGAAGAUUUCUUCUUUUGUCAUUCUCACUCUCUUUGUCGUAUCCUCACUUGGUGCUUUGGAAAUCUAAGGAAUCUCCAAAUGUGGAAUGUGCUGAAUACAGGGGGGCACAACCCCAAUAAAACCACCAACCAUCUGGUCCAAUAUUGAUGUUAAAGACUUUAUAUUUUGAAAGCACUUUUAAAACUUUAUCACCGAAUUCUUUUUGUUUUUCAACUAAAAAAAAGGAUAUAAGAACAAGUGGGUGACCUCACACCAAAGAUCACAGAAGGUUCUGGUAGGCAGCAUGGGAUUCAUGCCUAGCUUUGUGGCUCAGGCCUGUUGACCAAUAUUCCUGCUAACUCAUUCUCAGGUUCAGUGUCAGCCAUGUGCCAGCCUGCAGGAGGAACUUUAAAAAUAAUUGUUUCACAAUGAGGCAGAACCUCUUGGACACCAAUUCCCCCCGCCUCUCCCCCACCCCCCCAACUCUGGCCAAAGUAUAUACCUCUAAGACUCCUUGCAAGGUGAGCACCCUUGCAAACUGGGUUCACUCUUUUGGGCCUUUUAGCAACUUUAAAAAAAAAAAAUCAAUGAAAAAGAAAACAACAAUAGCUACAUUUUGUUGCUUCUGCUAUUUACCAGAUAGGAUUCUAAUCUCUUUACAGGCAUUCCAUCUAAUCCUUACAAAUAAGGCAUUUCAAAAAUUCAGUUUAAAGACAUUGAAAUUAAGCCUCAGUGAAGGUGAGUGGCUUGGCCUUGUCUACAAGUCUAAAGAAUAUGAAUCUAGUCCUCUGUGGCUUCAAAGCUGGCUCUUUCCACCACACCAUACUGCCUUCUUAAAUCAAUUAGUUAAUACGCUAAUAGUGAAGCAUAGUAAGUCAAGGGAUCCUCAAUCUUACUUCCUUACCCAUUAGUCCCCUUUGCUGAGCACACUGCCCUGAUCCCAGUCAAUAGAGUAAGGAGGGGAAGCAACAGAGGUGUUUUACCUGGUUGCCAAGAAAAUCAUCCUCUCAGUAUCCAAGAGAUGGAGCACACCCAGUGAACCUACCAGGCUCCAGUAGCCUGGCCCUGUCUUAGCAACAGGAAGCACAGAUUUUUUUUUUUUUUCCAUUGACAUUUCAAGGAGGGCCUUAUUGCAGGAAUAUAGAUUACUGGGUAAUGCCCUAUGAUACCUGACCACUAUAGGGUGACAUCAUAUCUGAGUGCAGAUCACAGAGCACUACUGGUUCUUUCCUCUUUCUGGCAGAAGUGGUGCCAUUUGGGGGCAGGGUCUAGGGUGACUCAGAAACAACUUGAGCCCUGAGGAAACAGAGUGAAGGGAUGAAAGCCACCAUCUCACAGGAGCUGAGAGCGUGUCCAGAAGAUAGCAUUUUGGAAAGCUUAUGGCCUCACACCCGUCAUCCCAGGGGGUGAGCUGUGAGUUCUCUUCUUCAGAAGAGGCCAACUUUUGACUCACUUGAUCUUCUGAGUACAGCACUGUGGUUUCCAUCCUGCCUCCCACUUAGUGACCACCUAUGUCAAAUGCCUGCACCUCCGGAGUUUGGAAAACACAUCCCAAUGCAGCAUGGCCUCAAGCUAACAAAGGCAGCCUCCACGGUAGCACACCUCUUUCACUGCCAAAUUGUCCAGUAUUUGACUUAAGUGGAAAUGGCUGUUCAUUGGCUAGGUUCAUUAGUGAAAAAUGUUUCAACGGUUCCAUUUAACAACCUGGAAUGUCCUUUGGAGAAGGCCAAAUUAAUGUGAUUUUUACCUUAAGAAGCUUAGAAACAUAGCUGCCACUAACUCAAUAAUUACAUUGUACUGCCAGCAACAAUUCAAUAUUUUUUUCUUGCCUGAGGGUUACAACACAUUUGCACCGUGGGGAAGCUUUUUCUCUUUACAUCUCAAAACUGUACCACAAACUCUUCCUUUAUUCAUAACAGCGAGAUCUCCAGCUGAGAUAGGCACUUUUGUAUUGCUCUGGAUGACAGUUUUCUGUGUUCUUUCCAAGCACAGGGGGUUUAAUAAACAUAUCUGGCAGGCCUUCCAUCGCUGGAGGGCCCAGGAUGACACUGUGUGCAAACAAUAUGCUCACACUGGAGGAAAACAAGUUUAUUCAAUUAUUCAAUUAAUAGAUUACAGUCAAGAUACUUGUUAUCCUACAAUGAAAAAUGGGGCAAGAACUCCAAGAAUUAGGAUAGGUCCCAGGAUUAGUAACAGCAGGCAAUAUGGCAUAUACAGAUCAUGAGUCUGGCCAAAAGCAUGAAAAUGUCCCCCCCCACACACACACACACACACUGUGUCUAUACCCUUCAAAAGGGGGACUCAGACUCCUAGAACCAAAUAUUAUAAGGGUCUUAACUCAUUAAAUACCUAAGCAUACUUUAGUUCUGGGUUAACGCUUGAGGGUAAGGAGGAAGUUGACAUCAGAAGGAGCAGGUAUAUGAGCAGCUCUAUAUUCCGCUCUCACAGAAUUCAAAAGAAUUCUGGAGAGAGAUGUUGGUAGAAUUUUCUCUGUGCAAACAAAGUAUUUUUGCAGGGUUUCAUGAUUAAUUCCCUUUCAGUUCCAGGGUUAGUCCUUUCCUAAAUGCAGAACAUCUUAGAAUGUUCUCCACCCCAGAACUUCUCACUCUGAAGCAGUUGGCUUCAGAGUGAAGUUUUAUCUAGUUUGUAUAGAUAUGUUAAGAUCUCCUUAACAAGAAAAGGACUACCACACUUAAAGUUGUGGUUCAGAGGCAGGGAGGCAACUUUUCUCUCCAUGGGGUAUUAGUAUAUUAUG
rnacentral:lncRNA from 1 species